ACAUGGGACCUGUCUGAAUUUCACUUAGAAAUUGGAAUGCGUUACUCCCCUAAAGAAGAUGAAUCAGCAUCCUUCACCCAUAUCCUGAGUACAUAUCCAUGUGCACCCUUGGAUUUAUCCAGCUAGUAAUUUCAGGAGGACCUCCUAGGGAUUGAUACAAACAAUUAUACAAGGAUGCUUUCUUUUCAUUCCUAGAUGUCCCUGAACAAUCUGUCUGAAAAUCUCCUACAAACUAUUCCUACUGUCCUGCCUUUCUCUGUGAUUAUGACAUAACAUUCAACAUUCCAAAAGGAUGCCAAUGUCACAUAAUGUCUCAAUAUGAAGAUGUAGAUGACAGCAAGUAAUUUGACUUUAAUACAAAACCUGUCUAUAAUCUGCUUUACUAUUAGAAUGCUUUGCAGAAACAGAGAAACAGAGCAGCACUUUUUACCUUGAAUUUGCAUUUUUCCCUGUAAUAACUUCCUUUCCUUUCAAACUUUUCCUUUUAUAUUUUUGAAUCAAAUGGUAUUGAAAUCCUCCAAACUCCUUAUGUGCUCUCGAAUUCACCAUGGAAAAGUUUCUCUGCUUCCACUAUCUAAGUAAACUCAUCUCCUCAACCUAUUGCCACAAGCUGCCGACGAAAGCAGCAAACCUCACUUGAGAUUCGCACCUAAUGAAAAGAUAAAAGUAAUUGAGGAGUCCUCCAGGAAAAAAUAUUCAGCGGGAGAAUAAAACUUCAGCAGCCCUUUUGAAAAUCCCAGUACCUCCUGAGUCUUCCUAGCUGGUAAACUGUUAAAAUAUUCCUACAUUUUCAGGUUCUUUGCUGUGAUUCCCAGCAAAUAUCCUUGGGAAGUUGUGCCUGCACGCUCUCUAUUAAGAGAGAUGCAGCUACAGGAUAAAGUAAUGUACAUGCUGCCUUAAAUAUGAUAACUGAUGAGAUGAAAGCCUCAGGAGCCAAGGAAGACUGAUGUGAACCUUCAGGGGGACAGAAAUACUGUAGAAAAACAAUGCUCUAAUCAAUCCUCAGGGAGCUACUUCCAGACCUUCAAGGAGUGCCAUGCUUGAUCUCAACUUUGGAUUUGCUUCUGAAGAAUUAAAAAACAUCCAUGAAGCAAGUGCCUUCCAGCAGCUGUAAUAUACCAAU